rnacentral:sRNA from 1 species
UAGUAUAACGUCAUCUGCAAAUUCGAGA